rnacentral:lncRNA from 1 species
CACCCGAUGCCUCCCCGCAAAGCAUCCACCAGGCGAUCCACGACCUCCGCGGCCAGAUCUCAGGCUCCGACCUCACUUCCAGUUUUUCAGGAUCCUCCUCCUCUGGCAACGGCGGUUGGUGCGGAGCAAUUCGACCUGCUGGUUCAGCAGGUCAAAGGCCUCACUGAAGCGGUGCAGGCCAUGCAACAGCAACAACAGCCGCAGGCAUCGGUGCAGUUGGAGAGAAC